rnacentral:tRNA from 2 species
UGCACAGAUGGUGUAAUGGCAGCAUCAAGGUCUCCAAAACCUUUGGUCAAGGUUCAAGCCCUUGUCUGUGCGU